rnacentral:rRNA from 1 species
CAGUAGCCGCGGGAAUACGUAGGGUGCAAGCGUUAAUCGGAAUUACUGGGCGUAAAGCGUGCGCAGGCGGUUAUAUAAGACAGAUGUGAAAUCCCCGGGCUCAACCUGGGAACUGCAUUUGUGACUGUAUAGCUAGAGUACGGCAGAGGGGGAUGGAAUUCCGCGUGUAGCAGUGAAAUGCGUAGAUAUGCGGAGGAACACCGAUGGCGAAGGCAAUCCCCUGGGCCUGUACUGACGCUCAUGCACGAAAGCGUGGGGAGCAAACAGGAUUAGAGAACCCCGUAGUCCCUGUCUCUUAUAC